rnacentral:rRNA from 1 species
AGGACGAACGCUGGCGGCGUGCCUAAUACAUGCAAGUCGAACGGUCUUUCUAUGGAAGCUUGCUUCCACUGAGAAGAUAGUGGCGAACGGGUGAGUAACACGUGGGUAACCUGCCCAUAAGAGGGGGGAUAACAUCCGGAAACGGGUGCUAAUACCGCAUAGUUUUCUUGAUCGCAUGAUCGGGAAAGGAAAGACGGCCUUUGUGCUGUCGCUUAUGGAUGGACCCGCGGCGUAUUAGUUAGUUGGUGAGGUAAUGGCUCACCAAGACGAUGAUACGUAGCCGACCUGAGAGGGUGAUCGGCCAUAUUGGGACUGAGACACGGCCCAAACUCCUACGGGAGGCAGCAGUAGGGAAUCUUCCGCAAUGGACGAAAGUCUGACGGAGCAACGCCGCGUGAGUGAAAGAAGGUUUUCGGAUCGUAAAACUCUGUUGUCAGAGAAGAACAAGUUGGAGAGUAACUGCUCCAGCCUUGACGGUAUCUGACCAGAAAGCCACGGCUAACUACGUGCCAGCCGCCGC